CCCCGCUGUAGUCUGUAAUGGACUGGCCUGAGGUCUCGCUACAAACAAGCAUCUGCUGGAAGAGAGUAGGCGAGUUGUGUUUAGUCUCUUUGCUAAAGAAAUGAGUCAAAGUUAAAAAGAUGUUUGGUGUCUAGUACUAUGUCUGUGACCCUAUAUGUCCUGUUGAUGAAGUUAGGUGCUGUUCUGAGCAUUAUUGGUGGCUAUAGAGUGGCGUUUUGGUUGGGGGCGUGGCUCUCUGUAUUUCUAUCCUGCGGUCGUUACUAAAGUUGGUAUAACUAGAGAAGGAAGCGGUCGACAACAUUCAUCUCUGGAGGGGGGGUCUAACUCGGUGUUACGGUGGGUUUGACCCUAAAUUAAUUUUACGCCGGAAUAUCCCUUUAAGAGGUU